CAAGGUGGUUAUUGCCCAGG
rnacentral:piRNA from 1 species